UACAGAGGUGGCAAGCGUUGUUCGGAAUUACUGGGCGUAAAGGGCGAGUAGGCGGCCUUCUAAGUCAGACGUGAAAUCCCCCGGCUUAACCUGGGAACUGCGUCUGAUACUGGGAGGCUUGAGUAUGGGAGAGGGAUGUAGAAUUCCAGGUGUAGCGGUGAAAUGCGUAGAUAUCAGGAGGAACACCGGCGGCGAAGGCGGAUCUCUGGGCCUUACCUGACGCUGAGGCGCGAAAAGCGUGGGGGAGCAAACAGG
rnacentral:rRNA from 1 species